rnacentral:rRNA from 1 species
AGUCGAGUGCGCGUCUGUAGCAAUACAGAUGGCGCACGGCGCACGGGUGCGUAACACGUGGGUAAUCUGCCCUUCGAUGGGGAAUAUCUUCGGGAAACCGAAGCGAAUUCCGCAUAACAUUCCUUGAACUUCGGUUUGGGGACUCAAAGCCGUAAGGCGUCGGAGGAGGAACCCGCGCACGAUUAGCUAGUUGGUAGGGUAACGGCCUACCAAGGCUUUGAUCGUUAGCUGGUCUGAGAGGAUGGCCAGCCACACUGGAACUGAGACACGGUCCAGACUCCUACGGGAGGCAGCAGUGGGGAAUCUUGCACAAUGGGCGAAAGCCUGAUGCAGCGACGCCGCGUGGGGGAUGAAGCUUUUCGGAGUGUAAACCCCUUUCGACCCGGACGAAUGCCCCGUAAGGGGACUGACGGUACGGGUAUAAGAAGCCCCGGCUAACUACGUGCCAGCAGCCGCGGUAAGACGUGGGGGGCCAGCGUUGCUCGGAAUUACUGGGUGUAAAGGGUUCGUAGGCGGUGUGGCAAGUCGGGAGUGAAAUCUCUGGGCUUAACCCAGAGUCUGCUUCCGAAACUGCUGUGCUUGAGUGUGGGAGAGGCGCGUGGAAUUGCAGGUGUAGCGGUGA